GCAGUGGUUGCUUGCUGGUUAAGGCUCUAGGUUACUGAUCGGAAGGUUGGGGGUUCAAGCCCCAGCACUGCCAAAUUGCCACUGUUGGGCCUUUGAGCAAGGUCCUUAACCCUCUCUGCUCCAGGGGCGCUGUAUCCUGGCUGACCCUGCACUCUGACUCCAACUUCCUAACAUUCUGGGAUAUGCGAAGAAAAGAAUUUCACUGUAUAUGUGACAAAUAAAGACUCAUUAUACAAUAUUAUAGAUAAAACUCUAUAACAUAUAUUAUCAUGAAGUAUUAUGUAACCAUGUCACAGAGAAUAUGAAAGCCUGAAGAGAUGAAUUUUUAAAGAACUUUGAAUCUUGAAAUGUAUUCACAGUUCCAGAUGUGAUGGGGAAGUGAAUUCCAAAGCUUAGGGGCAAUGUGACUAAAGGCUCUUCCACCCAUGGUGGUAAAGUUCAUGUCCGGUAUUACUAGUAGACCUGCUGAGGAGGAUCGCAGAAGCCAGUGAAGCUGGAUGAGCUGAGAUGUUACAUGGCUGGUUGAUUUGGAGAAUAUAAUGAUCCUUGCUGCAGAGUUUUGGAUUAUUUGGAGCUGGUGAAGUAGUUUAUUAGGGAUGCCAGACAGGAUAGGAUUGCAGUAGUUAAUGUGGGAUGUAACAUAAGCACUGACCAAGACUUCUGUGCUGUGUUGAGUGAGGGAUGGGUGUAGUCUUGCCAUGUUCCGUAGAUGGAAAAAGGCACUGCAUGAAACAUUGCUAAUGUGUGCAGCAAAGGACAAAGUGCUAUCUAAUAUGACACCAAGGCUCUUAACCUGAGUGGAGCAGGGUAUGGUUCAAUUACCAAUGGAGAGGGUAAUUUGUUCAUCUUUACAAGUGCAGUUUUAGAGCCGAAAAUGAGUAUCUCAGUCUUAUUGCUGUUUAAUUUCAGAUAGUUCUUAGUCAUCCAUAAGUUUAUGUCAUGAAGACAGACUAUGAUCAUAUUGGGAGGAAGAGAGGCUGAGGGUAUCGUGGACAUGUAAAGCUGAGUAUCAUCGGCAUAGCAGUGAAAGUGAACACCAUGAUGUCGAAGGAUAUUGCAGAGUUGGAGGAGAUAGAUGAUAAAUAAGAGAGGCCCUUGGUGACAGCAGAGCUCUCUGACUUGCAGCUCAUUAUUUGGACUAAUUGAGUCCUGUCAGUGUGGUAGAAUAUGAACCACUGAUGUACGGUGACACGGACUUCAGUGUUAGCUACACAUUCUAGAAGAAUCCGAUGAGAGAUGGUGUCAAAGGCUGCUCUGAGGUCUAGGAGGAUAAGAAUGGAGAGCAG
ensembl:lncRNA